UACAUAGGGUGCAAGCGUUGUCCGGAAUUAUUGGGCGUAAAGAGCUCGUAGGUGGUUCGUUACGUCGGAUGUGAAAAUCUGGGGCUCAACCCCAGACCUGCAUCCGAUACGGGCGAGCUAGAGUUUGGUAGGGGAGACUGGAAUUCCUGGUGUAGCGGUGGAAUGCGCAGAUAUCAGGAGGAACACCAAUGGCGAAGGCAGGUCUCUGGGCCAAUACUGACACUGAGGAGCGAAAGCGUGGGGAGCGAACAGGAUUAGAUACCCUGGUAGUCCACGCCGUAAACGAUGUCGACUUGGAGGUUGUGCCCUUGAGGCGUGGCUUCCGGAGCUAACGCGUUAAGUCGACCGCCUGGGGAGUACGGCCGCAAGGUUAAAACUC
rnacentral:rRNA from 1 species